CGUAGGGCGCGAGCGUUGUCCGGAUUUAUUGGGCGUAAGAGCUCGUAGGCGGCUCGUUGCGUCAAUCGUGAAAACCCGGGGCUUAACUUCGGGCUUGCGGUUGAUACGGGCGGGCUGGAGCUCGGUAGGGGAGACUGGAAUUCCUGGUGUAGCGGUGAAAUGCGCAGAUAUCAGGAGGAACACCGGUGGCGAAGGCGGGUCUCUGGGCCGAUACUGACGCUGAGGAGCGAAAGCGUGGGGAGCGAACAGGAUUAGAUACCCUGGUAGUCCACGCUGUAAACGUUGGGCGCUAGGUGUGGGGGGCCUCUCCGGUUUCCUGUGCCGUAGCUAACGCAUUAAGCGCCCCGCCUGGGGAGUACGGCCGCAAGGCUA
rnacentral:rRNA from 1 species